CACCGAUCAGGCACAAGGAGCAGUAGGAGCAAAUAAGAUGUGACGCUGUAUAAAUACUCCACCAUUGCACUAGCUGGGACUUUGGGCCUCGUGGUGCUGGUUGCUUUGUAUUUAAAAAUCAAAGAUUUCAUCUUCUCCCCACACCUAACAGACCAGAAGGCACGAGAGAAUGUCCGAUAUGAAGCUUUAGACCAGUCAAGAAGAAGAAGAAGCAAACUUUAAAACAGGACAUGCUGACAUCAAUCAACGUGACACCAUAGCUGGGUGACGAGAAGGCCGAGCGAGGAGAUCCACGUUGGCAUUUUGUUCAGCAUUUGUGACAACCUUA